GUCUGAAAGAAAAACAGCCAUAAAUGCCUUUUUGAAGGUUUGCCAGUCAGUUAGCUUAACCUUAUCUGCUUUCCACCAGCUCUGAGCGGGUCCCUUCAGGACCGUGCUAGGGUUCUGAUGAGCUCGACGCUGGGAAGGGGCCUGAUCUCCAGGAAGUUUUCACACUGCUCGAUGAAGUUUAACACAUCUGCUGUCUCGCAGGAGUCGCGAAAGAGGGGAACUCAAGGCGGAUGGGAAGCCGAGCACAGAAUGAGGAUGAACCAGCCAUAACUGAGGAGAUACUGGCACUGGGGUCUGUGGAUAAUGGACAGCAGAAAUGUGGGAGGAAGCUGGGACUUCAAAAUAAUCUUCCAAGCUAGCGUCCAUGGCCUGCCUGAAACUGGUUUCCUGGUUUAAUGUACUGUCCAUUGACUGUUUGAAAUCAUGUUCCAAACUUUUUGAUUCAGAGCCAAUAAAUCCACUUUUACCUGG